rnacentral:lncRNA from 1 species
UGCCCAUAGAAUGACUGGCCAGCACACUUUGAAAAGCAGUGAUAGGUGUAGAAGGGCCAGGGCCUCUGUAUGAACUGUGCAGUGGACUGGGAUGACACUGGAACUGAGGGAAAGCACCACAUGUUAGCCCAGCUGUGAUGCUGCAGAAGUGCUGAUCCCACACCAUGCAUGGGUGCGUUUCCCUAGGGACGAUGGAUGGAAGAGACUUGGAUACCAGUGAUCUAGGCUUCAGUCUCUCCUGGGAUAGUGCCCCCAUCCUUACGAAGUAAUAGCCUUAAGCAAGUUUCCCAGAGUCCCACACCUGACUCCCUGAAUCUUUCUUGUUCCGGCCAUAGCACUGGGCCAAGAGCUUUGUUGCAUCAGCCUCCGACUCAGUCCUCAUGUCAUAGAGUAGCUGCUCCAACAGCAGCUGGUACCAGCCCUACCCAUCUAGGAGCUCAUUCC